CUUGCUUGCUUGCUUACUGCUUUGCUUCCUUGAUUGAUUGAUUACCUGAUUGCUUGCUUGGUUGCUUGAUUGACUGAUUGCCUGAUUGCUUGCUUGCUUGAUUUUUUUCAGGUUGAAAGCUAGUACACUCAGAAACAUGAAUCAAAAUCAAGACCUCACCUGGGGAUCUUCAGGACUAAGCAGGGCCACCACACCUGCCUCCUGCCUCCUAUAUAGACAGAGGAAUGUCCUGGGGCCAUCAGUCAGUCCUUUUGUGAUGCCACCUUUUAUUGGUUCACUGCUGUCUUUACAAGGACCAAAGGGCUCCUAGAAAUAACCUUGGGGUAAAUAGGGCUGGGCAAUAUCAGGAAACAACAAGGUAUCCAAGGAGCCAUGAAAUCUAUAAGAGGCCUUGAUCCCAGACCUGAAUUCUGAGGUAGAGCUCUCAGCUGCCCCCUCCAGAACUUGCCUUCGGAUGCAGGUACAGGUUACCGUGGUGACACAUGCUCUCUGUUGUGCAGGCCACCCCACCUGUGGGUUUAAGAAGAAAUCGAAUAAACAGAAGAGCAGCGCCCAACUGUCUGCGCCUCUGUUUCCCCUUUGGUCUUCCAGCCACAGUGAAGAGAAAGCAUUUGGAUGUGUAAAUGGCCUCCUGGUCCUUGGCCCCUGGGCUAGGAGCCUUUACCUCAGGCUCUGUCUACGGAUGCAUCACAGGGAGGAGUCUCUGGGUGUUCUGCUGUGUCCUGCUUGUCACAGGACGCUUCUGGGUGUCACUUUCUAGCUCAAGAGUGGAGUCACAUUGGGCUCUGGGAGGAUGAGAAUGAGUUUAAGAGAAAAUGAACAUGAUCAAGACCCCUGGACAUUCUAAGUGUGCUUGCUGGCCAUUGAACCUAGGGUCUUGCACCUGCUCAGCACACGCUUAACCAUAGGCUACAAUCCCAGCCUUGGAGAAUACCCAACCCAGAACAUACACCCCGUCAUUUAUCGGACCGCAAAGGAAAUCAAGACAUUCCAGAGGAAUGAUGUCAUUGAUCUGUGUUCUUUCACCACAAUACACUGGAAAUAGAAACCAGAAAUAGAAAUGCAU
rnacentral:lncRNA from 1 species